UACGGAGGGGCUAGCGUUGUUCGGAAUUACUGGGCGUAAAGCGCGCGUAGGCGGCUUUGUAAGUUAGAGGUGAAAGCCCGGAGCUCAACUCCGGAACUGCCUUUAAGACUGCAUCGCUAGAAUUGUGGAGAGGUAAGUGGAAUUCCGAGUGUAGAGGUGAAAUUCGUAGAUAUUCGGAAGAACACCAGUGGCGAAGGCGACUUACUGGACACAU
rnacentral:rRNA from 1 species